rnacentral:rRNA from 1 species
AACGAACGCUGGCGGCAGGCCUAACACAUGCAAGUCGAGCGCACCCUUCGGGGUUAGCGGCGGACGGGUGAGUAACGCGUGGGAACGUGCCCUUCUCUGCGGAAUAGCCUCGGGAAACUGAGAGUAAUACCGCAUACGCCCUUUGGGGGAAAGAUUUAUCGGAGAAGGAUCGGCCCGCGUUGGAUUAGGUAGUUGGUGGGGUAAUGGCCCACCAAGCCGACGAUCCAUAGCUGGUGUGAGAGGAUGAUCAGCCACACUGGGACUGAGACACGGCCCAGACUCCUACGGGAGGCAGCAGUGGGGAAUCUUAGACAAUGGGGGCAACCCUGAUCUAGCCAUGCCGCGUGAGUGAUGAAGGCCUUAGGGUUGUAAAGCUCUUUCAGCUGGGAAGAUAAUGACGGUAACAGCAGAAGAAGCCCCGGCUAACUCCGUG